rnacentral:snRNA from 1 species
AUACAUACCUGGCAAGGAAAAUACCACCAACAAGAAGGUGGUUUUCUCAGGCUGAGGCUCAUCCACUGCACUCUGGAUGUGCUGACAAUGGCAAUUUCCCCAAAUGUGGGAAACUCAAUUGCAUAAUUUGUGGGACUGGGAGACUGUGUUCAUGCCGUCCCCUG